CCUACGGGUGGCAGCAGUGAGGAAUAUUGGUCAAUGGACGAGAGUCUGAACCAGCCAAGCAGCGUGAAGGAUGACUGCUCUAUGGGUUGUAAACUUCUUUUAUAUGGGGAUAAAACAGGGUAUGCAUACCCUCUUGUAUGUACCAUACGAAUAAGGAUCGGCUAACUCCGUGCCAGCAGCCGCGGUAAUACGGAGGAUCCGAGCGUUAUCCGGAUUUAUUGGGUUUAAAGGGAGCGUAGGUGGUUUGUUAAGUUAGUUGUGAAAGUUUGCGGCUCAACCGGGACAUUGCAGUUGAAACUGGCGGUCUUGAGUUCAGUAGCGGUAGGCGGAAUGCAUGGUGUAGCGGUGAAAUGCUUAGAUAUCACGAAGAACACCGAUUGCGAAGGCAGCUCACUGAACUACGACUGACGCUGAGGCACGAAAGCGUGGGUAGCAAACAGGAUUAGAUACCCCUGUAGUC
rnacentral:rRNA from 1 species